AUGUGGAGAGUAUCGGAAGUUGGAGCUUUCGUAGUUGCGGCUACAGAGAUACAAUUAUCAGCGGUUGCGCCUGACGUCACGCGGAACUGAUUAUCUUUGGUGGAAACGGCUGCUGACAUCUCCCAAGCAGCAGAUUUUGAAAAGCUGUCAGAAAGAAAGUCCAGAAGCACAUCAGAAACUCGAUUUUUCUGCCUGUUGAGCCUUUUUUCGCGUUUGAGAUACAUGGACUUCGGUAUUUGUAGCUACAAAUCGACCAAGGCACAUUCUUUAUUCGAGGAAUAUGUGUGUAUUUAUGUAUUUUACGAGCCGACAAGAUAGCGACAAAUUGUAGAACUGAUGAAAAAAAUUGUUUUGCUGUUAGGCGGUUACUACUAAUCUUAUAAAAUAAUUUAUUUUAACUGACAUCGUAACUGUGAUAAAACAUUAUGUUGAAGGAGUGUUCCAUACUAAUACCGCGCAAAAGUACUUCCUAUUUAUACCACAUUUUGCAUGCACCUUAUCUUAUUCCAUGUUCUAGAAAUACAUUAAUAUUUUACAAAUGAACUAUUGUCAAAUAUUAAAAAAAAACAUUCAGAUAAAUAUAAUGUGAUGCACUAGAGAAAUAUAGUUAUUGCGACACAUGUUCCUCAACUUCUCUGAAAAAUUUUUCGGAUGAGAAUCUACUUUUACAGGAAAAAGAAUGUCCUAUUUUCCGUAUGAACCUUAUCAACUGAAUUUUCCUGUAAUAUUUUCAAAAUUUUACUAUGUUUUGUUAUUCAUAUUUGUGUCCUGAGACUAACAAGGAGAGUAUUAGACAAUCGAAUCUGAUGAACAUAUUUUCAGCCAAAAGAAUGUUCCUGGAAUUUUCAGUGAAAUCUGUGAUCCGAGGGUCAAUACUCAUGUAGGCACGACACUUUUUUACACCAGUUCUGUUAUCCAGUGAAGGGUAGCUAAAAUCUACCUAAUUUUUGAUGCAGGACCCUUUUCCUAAUUAUCGGCACCUAAAUGUUUCGACUUUUCUGUGGGCAGGAGUAUUGUGUGCAAUAUUGCCGUGUGCAUUGAAGUUUCUGUGUGCAAACGUACUGUACACUAUUGCCAAAAUUAUUGUGUGCAAACAGGCCAUGCUAACAGGCCGUGUAAGAAUGGUUUACAAAAGUGCCAUGGGCUGAUAGACGGUGUCCAAAUGAUACACAAAAUUGAAUGUUCCGCAUUUAGAAAAAUAUGUCUUCUCCAACGUGUAGCAUUACUUGACAACUAGUUACAAAGUUGAUAUGCAAGUAUGAAUAUGCAUAGAGUUGUAGAAAGGCCGUAUUACAUUGAUGUGUAUUAUUAUUUUAUUACUCUAAUUAACAUAUUACUUAAUACUACGUCUAUACCAAUCAUGUACAUAUGUGGUCAGUGACAAUAACGCGCUAUAUACUGAAUUUCUUCAUAACUAAAUCCUAUGAGGUAAUCCUUUUAUGUUAUGCACAAUAUAUUUAACACAAUGCAAAUUGAUAUUUGAUUAAUAUAUUUAUAAUUUAUAAACAUUUACCUUUGGCAAUUAGGAUGUGCCGUAUG